UACGUAGGGGGCGAGCGUUGUCCGGAAUCAUUGGGCGUAAAGCGCGUGUAGGCGGCCCGGUAAGUCCGCUGUGAAAGUCCAGGGCUCAACCCUGGGAUGCCGGUGGAUACUGUCGGGCUCGAGUCCGGAAGAGGCGAGUGGAAUUCCUGGUGUAGCGGUGAAAUGCGCAGAUAUCAGGAGGAACACCAAUGGCGAAGGCAGCUCACUGGGACGGUAUUGACGCUGAGACGCGAAAGCGUGGGGAGCGAACCGG
rnacentral:rRNA from 1 species